GAUGAACGCUGGCGGCGUGCUUAAUACAUGCAAGUCGUGGGGCAGCAUGAUGUAGCAAUACAUUGAUGGCGACCGGCAAACGGGUGCGGAACACGUACACAACCUUCCUUUUAGUGGGGAAUAGCCCAGAGAAAUUUGGAUUAAUACCCCAUAAGAUAAUGAGAUGGCAUCAUCUUAUUAUUAAAGCUUCGGCGCUAGAAGAUGGGUGUGCGGCUGAUUAGGUAGUUGGCGGGGUAACGGCCCACCAAGCCUACGAUCAGUAGCUGAUGUGAGAGCAUGAUCAGCCACACGGGCACUGAGACACGGGCCCGACUCCUACGGGAGGCAGCAGUAAGGAAUAUUGGACAAUGGACGCAAGUCUGAUCCAGCCAUGCCGCGUGAAGGAUUAAGGUCCUCUGGAUUGUAAACCUCUUUCAGGAGGGACGAAGCCACUCGGGUUAAUAGCCUAGAGGGUGACGGUACCUCCAGAAGAAGCCCCGGCUAACUACGUGCCAGCCGCCGCGGUAAAAC
rnacentral:rRNA from 1 species